rnacentral:snoRNA from 2 species
GUGAUGCGGUCAGGGUUACGGUGAGAGGUGACCGGGGCGCUUGGGCUGA